rnacentral:rRNA from 1 species
AGUGAACGCUGGCGGUAGGCCUAACACAUGCAAGUCGAACGGCAGCACAGUAAGAGCUUGCUACUACGGGUGGCGAGUGGCGGACGGGUGAGGAAUACAUCGGAAUCUACUUUUUCGUGGGGGAUAACGUAGGGAAACUUACGCUAAUACCGCAUACGACCUACGGGUGAAAGCAGGUGAUCUUCGGACCUUGCGCGAGUGGAUGAGCGGGCGUCGGAUUAGCUAGUUGGCGGGGUAAAGGCCCACCAAGGCGACGAUCGGUAGCUGGGCUGAGAGGGUGAAAGGCGACAGUGGGACUGAGAUAAGGCCCAGAUGCCGACGGGAGGAAGAAGUGGGGAAUAUUGCACAAUGGGCGCAAGCCGGAUGCAGAAAGGCCGCGUGCGGGAUGACGGCUUUCGGGUUGUAAACAGCUUUCAGCAGGGACGAAGCUUGUUGCGACGGUACCUGCAGAAGAAGCACCGGCUAACUACGUG